GUGGGUAACCUGCCCUUAAGUGGGGGAUAACAUUUGGAAACAGAUGCUAAUACCGCAUAGAUCCAAGAACCGCAUGGUUCUUGGCUGAAAGAUGGCGUAAGCUAUCGCUUUUGGAUGGACCCGCGGCGUAUUAGCUAGUUGGUGAGGUAAUGGCUCACCAAGGCGAUGAUACGUAGCCGAACUGAGAGGUUGAUCGGCCACAUUGGGACUGAGACACGGCCCAAACUCCUACGGGAGGCAGCAGUAGGGAAUCUUCCACAAUGGACGAAAGUCUGAUGGAGCAACGCCGCGUGAGUGAAGAAGGUUUUCGGAUCGUAAAACUCUGUUGUCAGAGAAGAACGUGUGCGAGAGUAACUGCUCGUGCAGUGACGGUAUCUGGCCAGAAAGCCACGGCUAACUACGUGCCAGCAGCCGCGGUAAUACGUAGGUGGCAAGCGUUGUCCGGAUUUAUUGGGCGUAAAGGGAACGCAGGCGGUCUUUUAAGUCUGAUGUGAAAGCCUUCGGCUUAACCGAAGUCGUGCAUUGGAAACUGGGAGACUUGAGUGCAGAAGAGGAGAGUGGAACUCCAUGUGUAGCGGUGAAAUGCGUAGAUAUAUGGAAGAACACCAGUGGCGAAAGCGGCUCUCUGGUCUGUAACUGACGCUGAGGUUCGAAAGCGUGGGUAGCAAACAGGAUUAGAUACCCUGGUAGUCCACGCUGUAAACGAUGAAUGCUA
rnacentral:rRNA from 1 species